UACAUGGGGUGCAAACGUUUGCUCGGAAUUAUUGGGCGUAAAGCGCGCGUAGGCGGUUACUUAAGUCGGAUGUGAAAGCCCUCGGCUUAACUGAGGAAGUGCACCCGAAACUGAGUAGCUAGAGUACGAAAGAGGGUCGCGGAAUUCCCGGUGUAGAGGUGAAAUUCGUAGAUAUCGGGAGGAACACCGGUGGCGAAGGCGGCGACCUGGGUCGAGACUGACGCUGAGGCGCGAAAGCGUGGGGGAGCAAACAGG
rnacentral:rRNA from 1 species